AGAGUUUGAUCAUGGCUCAGGAUGAACGCUGGCGGCGUACCUAACGCAUGCAAGUCGAACGGGAGUGUGAGUAGCAAUACGAACAUUCUAGUGGCAAACGGGUGAGUAACACGUGGGUAUCUACCCUGAAGUGGGGAAUAACGGCUCGAAAGGGUCGCUAAUACCGCAUAUGUUCGAGAGAACAAAGGUGGAGCAAUCCAUCGCUUUGGGAGGAACCUGCGACCGAUCAGGUAGUUGGUGAGGUAACGGCUCACCAAGCCGACGACCGGUAGCUGAUCUGAGAGGAUGACCAGCCACACUGGCACUGAGACACGGGCCAGACUCCUACGGGAGGCAGCAGCGAGGAAUAUUGCACAAUGGGCGCAAGCCUGAUGCAGUAACGCCGCGUGGGGGAUGAAGACCUUCGGGUUGUAAACCUCUUUUCAAUUUGACGAGUGAGGACGGUAAAGUUGGAAUCAGUCUCGGCUAACUACGUGCCAGCAGCCGCGGUAAGACGUAGGAGGCGAGCGUUAUCCGGAUUCACUGGGCGUAAAGCGCAUGUAGGCGGUUGGACAAGUCCUUAAUGAAAGCCCCUGGCUCAACUGGGGGAGGUUUGAGGAGACUGUACGACUGGAGGGCAGCAGAGGUCGGUGGAACUCCCGGUGUAGCGGUGGAAUGCGUAGAGAUCGGGAAGAACAUCAGUGGCGAAGGCGACCGACUGGGCUGCAUCUGACGCUGAGAUGCGAAAGUGUGGGGAGCAAACGGGAUUAGAUACCCUAGUAGUCC
rnacentral:rRNA from 1 species